AAUGAACGCUGGCGGCAUGCCUAACACAUGCAAGUCGAACGACAGCACAGUAAGCGCUUGCUCUUACGGGUGGCGAGUGACGGACGGGUGACUCAUACAUCGGAUACCUCUUUUACGUGGGUGAUAACGUGGGACAACUUCUGCUACCACCUCAUAUAUCGUACUGGUUAAAGCAGGAGUUCUUCUCACCUUUCGCGAUUGUAUUAGCCGAUGUCGGAUUAGCUAGUUGGCUGGGUAAAGGCCUACCAAGGCUACGAUCCGUAGCUGAUCUGAGAGGAUGAUCCGCCACACUGGAACUGAGAAACGGUCCAGACUCCUACGGGAGGCAGCAGUGGGGAAUAUUGCGCAAUGGGCGAAAGCCUGAUACAGCAAUACCGCGUGAGUGAAGAAGGACUUCGGGUGGUAAAGCUCUGUUGUUAGGAAAGAAAAAAAGCGGGUGUAAACCUGGAUGUAAUGACGGUACCUAAAGAAUAAGCACCGGCUAACUACGUG
rnacentral:rRNA from 1 species